CCUCUCUGGUAACAGAGAGGGCACAUGUAAACCCCAUCCGAAGCAAGACCGAAUAAGAAGCAUAUGGCUGCCCGUCAGCUUCAGGUAGGUCGCUUGAGUCUGGUGGCGACACCAGACCUGGAUAGAUGAUCAUCCACGACAUAACCCGGCUUAUCGCUUUGCUCAUAUA
rnacentral:RNase_P_RNA from 1 species